UCCCUGCUUUUCCUCCCUGAGCAGGUGCCUUACCGUGAUGACAGCGUUAAGGCUUUGCGGCCCCAGUCCCUCGGACUGGGGCUCUUUCU
rnacentral:ncRNA from 1 species